CAUGUGUUCUUAUCUCUUCCGCUCGAAAAAUUUCUUCACCUCAAAUUCAUAAUCCAAAAGUUGCUGAAGCCCAGAAAGGAUACCAUGUUGACGGCACGAUUGGUGGUUGGGGUCCAUGGUUUAAUCAUAAUCCCGGUGAUAACAACGGUGUUGGGGUCGAUGGAAGAGGAGGAGGCAACUAAAAAUGAGGCAAUAUGAUCACGUAACUUGACAUUGUCGUACUGCUUUGCAAAGAAUAAUAAAUAUGAAUAAGUUUAUGUUGAUUUUA